rnacentral:rRNA from 1 species
UAGGGAAUCUUCGGCAAUGGGGGCAACCCUGACCGAGCAACGCCGCGUGAGUGAAGAAGGUUUUCGGAUCGUAAAGCUCUGUUGUAAGAGAAAAACAUGUGUGAGAGUGGAAAGUUCACACAGUGACGGUAACUUACCAGAAAGGGACGGCUAACUACGUGCCAGCAGCCGCGGUAAUACGUAGGUCCCGAGCGUUGUCCGGAUUUAUUGGGCGUAAAGCGAGCGCAGGCGGUUUAAUAAGUCUGAAGUUAAAGGCAGUGGCUUAACCAUUGUUCGCUUUGGAAACUGUUAAACUUGAGUGCAGAAGGGGAGAGUGGAAUUCCAUGUGUAGCGGUGAAAUGCGUAGAUAUAUGGAGGAACACCGGUGGCGAAAGCGUCUCUCUGGUCUGUAACUGACGCUGAGGCUCGAAAGCGUGGGGAGCAAACAGG